rnacentral:tRNA from 2 species
GGCGCCGUACCCAAGUGGCUAAGGGAGCAGUCUGCAAAACUGCGAUGCGGCGGUUCGAUCCCGCCCGGCGCCUCCA